rnacentral:lncRNA from 1 species
UGUAAAGCGGCUUUAUAGUGAUGAAUGGUACGUAGCCUUUUGAAGCGAAGCUUUUUAUGUCUCGCUGAUUCGUCCGUCAGCGCCGAAAACACACUGCAGGAAAGCCAACUU